rnacentral:snRNA from 1 species
GUGCUCACUUCAGUAGCACAUAUACUAAAAGUGGAACAAUACAGAGAAGAUUAGCAUGGCCCCUUGGCAAGAAUGACACGAAAAUCUGUGAAUAUUUUAAAAUGCUG